ensembl:lncRNA
AUUGUUUCUUUAGAAAUGGGAGUGGCAGUUCUUGGGAAAAAAGUAAAAGACAUGCUUCAGGUUUGCAUAUCUGCAGCUGAGCUCUUGGUGUCUGAGUGUCUUCUUUGACAGCAUGAACACUACUUUGGAAGAGAUAUGCAAGGCAGUCCUUGUGUCUGCAGGAGCUGGUGGAGUUGUGAUUCUGACUCCUGCCAUUGUCGCUGGAAUGGGGUUCACUUCAGCUGGAAUAGUAGCAGGCUCCAUCGCUGCCAAACUGAUGUCACUUUUUGCAGUCUUUGGUGGAGGUGGAGUUGUAGCAGGAGGUCUCAUAGCAACCUUGCAGUCCUGGGGUGCAGCAGGUCUGUCAUGGGCUGCCACUUUAUUGUUUGGCAGUGUUGGUGGAGCAGCUGCUUGGUUGAUCUCAACUGUGUGUAAUGUGACUGUGAAAUAUGAAGAGUAACACAUUGAAUAAACACAAACUGACCUACAAAUGAUUCCUCCUGUGACAAAUUAGUCUGACUCAAUAGCCUGAAUUAAGCUUUAUGUUUUAUGUACAAAGGACAGAUAGUCAGAUUAAAGCAUGAUUUGAGAACUGAGUUACAAAAAUGAUUGCUGAUGAUUUUUACCCACCAUUUUCAAAUAAAAUAUAAUUGAAGAGGAUGAAGAUGCUUUAUCUGAUCCAAAGACUGAUAUGAUGCUUUUGUUCUCUUCACAUAUUUAAUGUAAAAAUGAAAACACAUGCAAAUUAAAAGUAUAGUUGUUUUUAUUGUAAACAUAAUGCAUCUAACUGGGCCAUAUUCUUUUUGGCCCAAAGAUUUUAUCAUACAUGAAAUACAUUAGUGACACAGAUUAAAUGCCAGUAAUUCAUUUACAAUAGUUUAAAUACUGGAAAUCAUUUUUGGCAGAUCAUUAAUGUGUGUAUCAUGUUUGAGAUCAUAUGACAAGCAUAAUAUGUCAGCCUUCUGACCGAAUUAUGUAAAGGAUGGGCCCAUGUCGCUUUUUCGGGCUAUAACCGGCCGGGCCCCAUAGCCUAAGCCCCGGCCACCAGAUGCUUGCCCGGGAACCCUCCCUGGGCCUCCGGAGUGGGGUGAACUGUUCCCUUGACUGUAAACUGAUAAGGGUGUUUUGAAUCGCCCUUUGUCUGGUCCCUCACCCAGGACCAAUUUGCCAUGGGAGUCUUUACCAGGGGGACAACAUAGCCCCUAGGAUCCAUGGGGAAAACAAACCCCUCCACCUCAAUAAGGUAGCGAUUCAUAGAGGGUGAGUUAACUUGUUUCUGAGUAAGAACAUUGUGAAGUUAAGCCGUCAACGAUGAUGUGUUAAUGGCUAUCCCAGCUGUUGCUCAGCCAUGUGGUUGUACAUGGGCAAUUGUGAAGAGUGAACUUUCUAUUAUAUUUUGUUUGCUUCUUGAAAAGCUGUAGAGUGUGUGUUUGUGCAUCAACCCUAGCUGUUUACUGUGAAGUGAAUACACUAAAGAAAAGAGGUUAUGUUUUUUUGUAGUUGUGCUACGAUGCCGCACUGUAACUUUAGGAGAGCCAAUUUGUUGUUUACUUUGGUAAGAAAUGAUCAUUAUCAGUAUUUUGGGGAUAUUUUGUGAUUCUUUGUGUUCACUGGAAAGGGAAAGGGAAAAUGCAAAUUUGCAAAUCUCAAUUUGCUUUUUGAGAUCAUCUCUACAUCAUAUAAGCUCACAAUUCUAUCAUUACAGAAAACUUAACAUCUUAACAUUUCCAGCUGAGCUGUGGUAAGAUGUUUUGUUUUCUUUCUUGUGUUUCAGUGACAGCUGUAGCAAUCAGUCGGGGCAGGUAACAAACUUGUUUGCUUAUUUAUUUUUAUCACUGAACCUCACUCACGGGAGAAGUCAUAAAUAUCAUACAUUUAUGUAUUUUGAAGCAUCCUGAUGAUCAGUAAUGUUGUAAUCUUCACUCUAUACCUCCAGUCCUUUUGUCACCCAGCUGAAAAGAAACACUGAAGUCACAAACAUCUGUAAUGCUUUUAUUUAAAAAGAACCUCUGCGCAGAUGGAGAUCAUGCAACCGACGAGCAGUCCCGCAGAUCCUUACAUUUAUACUUGGUGGCCGCACCCCGAUUGGUCAUUUCAUGGUUAUCAAAACCAAACCAAAUUUGGCCCAAGGUGGGAUUGUGAAAUGAGGCGAACAGAGGAUCGGUCUUAUAGAAUUUAAAGGUAAGCACCACCUGUUAAAGCAAAAGUGUGCAGAUUGGAUGAAUUCUAAAUUAUCUGCUCGCUGAUUUAAUGAUCUUCACCGUUAAAUUGGCUCAGAAGUGGUGAAAUAUUAGAGUAAGAGACAUAAAAGGUAACCACAGUCUGUUGAUUGUAAAAAAAAAAAAAGAAAAGAAAGAAAGAAAAACAGAAAGAACUUAAUUAAAUUAUAAAGUAUGGUCAGUAGAUUUGUGGUCAAUGUUCGGGGUAAUGUGUAAUUGGGGUGAAUUUUAAAGUUGAUGUGUUGUGUGUAAUGUUAACUGUGUUGUGAUUAAAACUUUGCCGGAGUUUUGAUUGUUGUUUUUAAAUUUAUUUAAAUUAAUUUAGGACUGAAGUUGGAUUUCUAAGAAGUGCAAGUGUUCAGAGGGUGACGCCUCCACUUCAACACGGACGUGUGUUGGAGACCCACGGCGACGGGACAGUUCGGUUGGUUACCGAGAAGACUGGGGACUUUCGUUAAUAACUAGUGGUCAAGGACCACUUUUUCGUCUGGGACGAUAUAUGCACUUGUUUGGCCGAGAAAGCUGGGCUUGGAUGUUGGACGCUUCUAAAAAUAAAAUAGGUUUUGUAGAAAUCGGGCCAAUCACAGUUUGGAACUGAUACUGGUUAACUGGUUAGAGAAAAAGGCUGGACCUUGGCGUUGGACGCUUGUAAAGUUGUCGAAAUUGUUUAGGGAAAACUGGUACCAGUACAGGAUGAUGAAAAGUGUGUCAUGGAAACAUUGUAUAAUGUAUCUUGGCAUUUGGUGUUUUGUUAUACGGUUUAGGGCCUGGAUGGCUUGAGGAUAGAAGCUCCUCUUGAGUCUCUGUGUCCUUGCCCAGAUGAUGCGGAACCUUCUACCAGAUUGUAGAAGUUGGAACAGUUUGUUGCCAGGAUGGGACGGGUCCUUCAGUAUCUGCGUUGCUCUAGUCCGGCAUCUCCUGGUGUAGGUGUCCUGAAGCGGGGGGAGAGCAAUCCUGCAGCAGCGUUCUGCUGUACGGAUCACUCUCUGGAGAGCUUCUUGGUCCUUCACACAGCUGUUCCCAAACCACGAUGUCAUGUUCUGUGUGAGGAUGCUCUCCACAGCGCCUGUAUAGAAGAUCCUGAGGAUCUUUGGAGAGACCCUGAACUUCCUCAGUUGUCGUAGGUGAUACAGGCGCUGCCUAGCCUUUUUGGUCUGGACCUGAAUGUGGGCAGCCCAUGUCAGGUCUGAGGAGAUGUGGACGCCAAGAUACUUAAAGGACUGCACCCUCUCCACUGGAGCUCCAUUAAUGAUAAUGGGCUUGUAGUCUCUGUGCUGACUCCUUCUGAAGUCCACCACCAGCUCCUUGGUCUUGCCGACGUUCAGCUGGAGGUGGUUGUCCUGGCACCAUGAUGCCAGAUUCUUCACUUCGUCCAUGUAGGCCGCCUCAUCACUGUUGGAGAUGGCACCCAACACCACUGUGUCGUCAGCAAACUUCACAAUGGUGUUGGAGCCGUGGGUGGCCACACAGUCUGAAGUGUAGAGGGAGUAGAGCAGUGGCGAGAGGACACACCCCUGUGGUGCUCCUGUGUUGGUGGUGAUGCUGUCGGAGACACACCUACCCGCCCUCACCACCUGAGUUCUGCCAGUGAGGAAGUCCAACACCCACGCACACAGACGGCUGUUGAGUCCCAGAUCCCUCAGCUUUGUGAACAGUCUGCUGGGCACUAUUGUGUUAAACCAUUGACUGUAGAAAACAUGGACGACGCGACAGCUCCCCAAAAAUGAAGCCAAAACGUCUCUAUCGCCCCCUGGUGUCUGGCUGCAGUAUAGGUCAUAAACCCCGCCUCCUCCAUGUUAGCGGAUGGGACUGGGGUCAGACUAAAAUAAAUUAAUUCUCCUUAGAUAAUUUUUUUCCAAAGAUUCUUUCUUUUGUUAUCAAUAGUUCUCAUCAUGCUGAUUGAUGUCCAAGAGGUCUCCUUUCCCAUAAGUUUGAUUCUAAUUCCUACCGCGGUGAUGUUAAAUUGGGGUGAAACGUCAUCAUAACAGCUUUGACUGUCAGCUGCAGUCACGGAGAAACUUGCGUAUCUCUGUUCGCGAAUAGCAGAUAGAGCGUAGGCUCUGAGAGGACGCCCAGCGUUUACGCUACGAAAACACGACCGAGUGUUUUAACCUGACAGCCUGAGGUGUUCUUCAGAAAACUGGACUACCCGACAGAAGGACCCGAGGCCCCGCUGCACUUUUUCGGAGCUGCCCCCAGAUUCAGACCUCAGCACCACCCAGUGACAGCAGACAGAUCAUCCAACAUGUUCACAUGUUAACUGUAAAAUGAACUGAUGAAAACAGUGCAAAGGUUAAAGUACCACACGUACUAUAGUGAAAGCUGCAGCUUUAUUGAUAAAGUUAAAGACAAAAAAACAAAAGGAUUAAUCUCUCAUGUAACUGUGUCACUAUACAUCAGUAUUAACAGGACCUCAGUUUGGUGUUUCAUAAAGCUGCUGAUCUCAGACCUGCACAGCUUCCGUUUUAAACACUUGAUGUACUCAGCUGCAUGAAGAGCAUAUGAAAUUUUCUCUAACACAAUUAAAUAAAACCUGAUGAAGGUCGAAGGUCAAAGGUCGUCACUUGUAUGUUGAACUACAAACUUGUCAUCUGGAAUUUUUUCAGUUUUUUUACACAUAGUGUGUUAUUUACCAUAAAGUGAUUCAGAGUUAUUCAUACCAGAGUAACCAGAGAGGAUCAUAUAUUUUUAAAUAUAUAACUUUCUACAGGACUGAAUAUAAUAUCUUUAUGUAAAAGUCCGGAGCCUCUGGGGAGUAUCUUGAGUAUUUAUAACAUUACACAAACCAAAGGUCUCCAUCACAGUGUUCAUGAAAUGCUGGGUUUAUCCAUCUCCUGGGGCGGGCCUACGGAGGAGUGCUGAAGAUUUCCCUGUGAGGGAGCUGCUGGUGAAGAUCAUGAGUCCUGCUUGAUCAAUGCGAUGAGCUUCAGUCUUCCUGGUGUUUCUUAAAUGAUGCCUCUUACAGCGGGUCAACAGAACUUAUGGCACAGGACAUCUGUGAUGAAAGAAAGGGAAGAAGUUUCUCCAAACCUCUGGACCCAGGAAACCCAGCUUGGUCCUGAUGGUCUCCCUCACUAGUUUCUCUCCAGGGUGAAUGUAGCUGUUGAUACAAUAUGGACUCUAUUAUUAAAUGAAAAGAACAAAUUAGACUACACUACUGAAACGUUCUGCUGAUGUUUUUAAAGUCUCCAUGUUACCAGGCUGUAGAGGGCUCUGAAGA